UACGACCUCUCAUUGUCUGGCGUUGGAGGGAGUAGAUCAUUGUGUUCCACAUUCAUAGUUCAUCUGGUGUUAGGCUUCCCUAUUUUUUUGACUAAAAGAAC